rnacentral:rRNA from 1 species
UACGUAGGGUGCGAGCGUUGUCCGGAAUUACUGGGCGUAAAGAGCUCGUAGGUGGUUUGUCGCGUUGUCCGUGAAAACUCACAACUCAAUUGUGGGCGUGCGGGCGAUACGGGCAGACUGGAGUACUGCAGGGGAGACUGGAAUUCCUGGUGUAGCGGUGGAAUGCGUAGAUAUCGGGAGGAACACCAGUGGCGAAGGCGGCGAUCUGGGCUGAUACUGACGCUGAGGUGCGAAAGCGUGGGGAGCAAACAGG